CUUAAGACAAAUUGAAGUCUCUCGCCACCAAACAACUUAAUUGAAGCCCGACAACCACUCUUACUCCUUUACUUUCCCCCAAUUACUCCCACCAAACCGACAAUCACUCUUACUCACCUCCUUCCAAAACAGCAACCCACUCUUACUCGAAACCAAAUCCAAAACAGCCAGCAACCAAACGGAAGAAUCAAACCCAUUUCUCUACUACGUUUCACUUUCGUCUUGUUUCAGUUUUCUAUUGUUUUCCGAAUGAAAGAGUUAGUGAUUACAACGGAUUGAGGGUUUGUUUCAGGGUUCGGUUCUGAUGGUGGACUGAGGUUUACUCGUUGUUGCUUUGGAAUUUCUUUCCCAAAAAAGGUUUAUUCUUUUUUUUGGGUUUGUUCUUCUUCUUCUUUGGAUAAUUUAAGUGGAUUUGUGCAGAUUUCGGUCUGUCUUGACCAUCAACCACCAUUGUCUCUCUUUCCCAGACUAUUACUUCACCGGUCGACGUUAUCAAGAGCUCAUUCCAGGUCUGCUUUACUUCUCUAGUGAAAUUUGGGCUUUUUUUUGCAAGAAAGUUCUUGGGUUUGUUCUUCUUUCUGGGUUUACAGGAAAACGUGUAAGCUUGCUGUUAUCUUCUCUCAGUCCUCUCUCACACUCUCUCGCGGCGGAUUUGGGAUUUGGAUCUCUCUCACUCCGACAAAAGACCAAAGAUAGAUAUCAGUGUAUCUGAUGCAUUGAACAGGAAGUUUCAGUGUGCAACAUUAGAGAUAUGUUGUUAUCACUUUUUCUGUUCAACGAUCUCUUGUUCUUUUGUUUUCUCGUUAUGUAAGUGUAACUGUCUUGGGGAAAAAUACUUUUGUUGCAGCUUGAUUUUCAGCUACCUGCUCGUUUUGAAUAUUACUCAGCAGAGGGUGAAUAAAGCAAGACGGAGGCACCUGUUAUGAUACACAGAGCCAUUUUGGGUUCUGUUGAGCGUAUGUUUGCUAUACUGUUGAAGCACUACAAGGGGAAAUGCCCGCUCUCGCUUAGUCCACGUCAGGCAAUUGUUUGCCCUGUCUCGGACAAAUCCCAGCCCUAUGCUCAGCAGGUCAGGGACAUGAUCUUUCAUGCUGGUUAUUGUGUUGAUGUUGACACAAGUGAUACGACCAUACAGAAAAAGCUAUUGCCACAAUGGUCACAAUUGCAGAAAUUCUUAAGAACAGUGGGCUGGCUAUUGAGAAAAAAAUCAUGACAUCAACUGUUGACAUAAAGGAUGAUUCUUGAGGGAGACCAGUCCAAAAAGCCAAGAUGCUCUUUCACAAAAUUCUCCUCUGAUUCGAUCUCUGACGUUGAUUUAAUCCAAGGGUGGCGAGCACUUGAUCUUGAAUCAAACGGUUGCAAUGUGGACUUCCUGCUAUGUUGACAAUUUGAGGAAGAUGAUUGACCAAGGGCUGUAGAAGCUUGAUCUUGAUCGGAUUUAGGCCACGAGUGGUGUCACGUGAUGAGUGUUCUUCGGCUUUGGUAGGGGAUGAACCAGCACGUGUGUUUGGUGCUUGUUGAUUCUCCACGAGCUUGAUGAAGAACUUGUAGAGGAUUUACUUUGUUGAAGACGACUUGAAGACGACGGAUAAUCAAGGGCUGUAGAGGCUUGAACUUGAUCAGAUUUGAACCACGAGCGGUGUCACGUAGCGAGUAUGGCUUUUGAUGGUGGAUGAAUCAGCACGUGUGUUUGGUGCUUGUUGAUCCUCCGCGUGUUUGACGACUUCCGAGCUUGUAGGUGAUUUCCCCUGCUUGUCUGAAGUCAGCGAGGUGAAGAGACCGGCUAUUUGGCAGCUUGAUGGUUCUUCACGAGCUUGGGAGACUUCUGAGCUUUGGAGAGGUUUAUUCCGUCUGCUUGUGUCCCUCUGUCUGUCGUCGUCCUCGAUGGUGUACUUGGCUCAAGGGCGAUUGACGCUUGAUCUUGAGUCGUAUGAUGGCCACGAGGGUUGACACGUAACGAGUGCUUUGACUUGAGGUUGGUGAUGAAUCGGCUAUUUGGCAGCUUGAAGGCUCUUCACGCGCUUGAAGACUUAUGAACUUUGGGAGUGAUUUUUCUCUCCGGCUCAAGUCCUUCUCUUGUUUUGAGAAGGGGUAUUUAUAGUGUCGGCGUCUCUCUCGGUUUGGAAUGACUUGAUGACACGUAAUUAAUUGCAUUUCAUUAAUAGCAUAAUUAAAUCAAUCAGUUUUAAUUAACCGAUUUAAUUACGACUAUUAAGGAAUUAGCCAAUCAAUUUGAUGGCUGAUUUUAAUUGUAUUUCA